AAAGGCGUGACGGUGAGCGCAGAGCCUGCCAACCGCCACGAAAACUACAGCGCCCGGAAGGGCGGUUCGUUGAAGGCAGCGGCAGGGCCUCGAUCCACCUCCGUCGCCCGGAAACCCGCCGGGGCCCAGGGUCGCGCCCCAUAGCCCCCCUCUUCGUGGCCGGAGACUCUGCUAAGAAAAUGACGUGUCAAAGAUACUGAUACACGUCUUACUGGUCACAGGGAAGUAUCCGGCAUGGAGAGGUAACCGCCUGAAGGUUGGCUACCCUGGAUGAUUAACAGCUGGCAAAAACUUUAUGACGCAUUGUGUCGCCCAGAUUUUUAGAGAAAGAUACACACACAGAGAUCAAUGUAGUUUUCAGUGAAGUGUGUUCUUGCACGGCGGGGAAAGGAACGUGUGCCACGGUCGGUCUUAACUUCGCACAGAACAAAGCCGAAUUUCUCAGUGAUUUCGCAGCGACCGCAAACACGCUGGUAGUUGACAGUCAGCAGACGUCAGGCUCCGUAGAGAGACCAUCUCACCAAGGCCCUUCCGUAGAGAGCAGAACAGGCCCCCGCGCUUGCAUUGCUGCGGAAGGCAGCCAGAGGCACAAGGGGACCCGGGGAGCCCGUUGUUCAUUCUGAUCUGAUAAAAGACAUCCUGGGGAACCUGGCCCAGGUUUUCUUACUUAAGUAUAGCCAGCACGUACCUUCCUCGUCUGGCCUCUCGCGAUCUGCCCAUUACUUAAGUCAAUAAGCCGUUGGCUAUUUCAAGAUUGGUUUAUUCACGUUGUAAGUUGCCAAGAACUAGGAAAACUGGGCAGACUCUCCAGUCUGCUCGGCAGUUCACCACUGUGAUGGAGACCGCAGCACGGCAGAAGCCAGGGGCUUCUCUUUACCGAGUCAGCUGCUCCUUCUCUGGGACCUCACGAAGCACCGAGUGACAGCUACCCGGCCUCGUCAAUGGCAAGAUAAUCAAGAGAGAAUUACCGCUUGGCAAAUAAAGGCCACUUUCCUAAACAGAAUCCACCAAAUCAGGGAAUGGGGAAGGGGGACAGUGAAAAAGAUCCGGCAAAGGGAUCCUUUGCGGUGACAGAUGCCAGCCGCUAACUGCAGGGGACGAGGAAUGCCCUUGUGCUGGACAUGUAGCUUCUCACAGAGCAGUGUGAGUGUGAUUGAUUCUUCAUACGCACUUGCUGAAUAAAUAAAUUUUCAAAAAUCUCA